rnacentral:ncRNA from 1 species
UUUUCUUUGCCACCGGGUAAAGAGUCAAGGUGUUCCGCAACAUUCCGUUAGGUCAUAGAAGGAAUGUUCUGGAACACCUCUUUGUU